rnacentral:rRNA from 1 species
AUUAGUUAUACCCGCAUAAGACCUGAGGGUGAAAGUGGGGGACCGCAAGGCCUCACGCAGCAGGAGCGGCCGAUGUCUGAUUAGCUAGUUGGUGGGGUAAAGGCCCACCAAGGCGACGAUCAGUAGCUGGUCUGAGAGGACGAUCAGCCACACUGGGACUGAGACACGGCCCAGACUCCUACGGGAGGCAGCAGUGGGGAAUUUUGGACAAUGGGGGCAACCCUGAUCCAGCAAUGCCGCGUGUGUGAAGAAGGCCUUCGGGUUGUAAAGCACUUUUGUCCGGAAAGAAAUCGCGCUGGUUAAUACCUGGCGUGGAUGACGGUACCGG